UCGUUUACCAGAAAUUCGUGUAAGAGUGCGAAAAAUGAGAAAUGAUAUUUUUCCUGAAACCAUGCCAUUUUAGAAAAACAGGGUUGGACGGCCAUGGGAGAGCGAGGUCGAGGAAAUAUGGAUGUGGGUAUGGAAGGUGUACAGGAAAUAUGGUCUGAGCAACCUGUCCAACCCAACCAAACCAAAUCAGCCCAAGCUUUAUUUAGAACAGAGGGAUGUCAAAACCGUUGCUGUUUGCCGUGGUGCGCUACGCGAGUCCCACUGGGGUGUUGUGCACGGUCGACAACAUCGCUAGAACAGAGGGGCCGGAGUUGCCGAGU
rnacentral:lncRNA from 1 species